rnacentral:rRNA from 1 species
AUUGAACGCUAGCGGGAUGCCUUACACAUGCAAGUCGAACGGAGUGGCGAACGGGUGAGUAAUGUAUCGGAACGUGCCCAGUAGCGGGGGAUAACUACGCGAAAGCGUAGCUACUCCCGCAUACUAUUGGAGCGGCCGAUAUCGGGUUAGCUAGUGGGUGGGGUAACGGCUAACCAAGGCGACGAUCCUUCGCUGGUUUGAGUGGACGACCAGCCAAACUGGGACUGAUACACGGCCCAGACUCCUACGGGAGGCAGCAGUGGGGAAUUUUGGACAAUGGGGGAAACCCUGAUCCAGCCAUCCCGCGUGUGUGAUGAAGGCCUUCGGGUUGUAAAGCACUUUUGGCAGGAAAGCGGUACCUGCAGAAUAAGCACCGGCUAACUACGUGCCAGCAGCCGCGGUAAUAC